rnacentral:tRNA from 1 species
GGGAGUGUAGCUCAGCGGAUAGAGCGGCGGUGUACACCCGAAUGGCCAAGAUGCAGCAGGUCGCAGGUUCAAAUCCUGCCACUCCCUCAA